GACGAACCGAGCGAACGUUGUUCGGAAUCACUGGGCUUAAAGGGCGCGUAGGCGGGCUGUCAAGUUUGGGGUGAAAUCCCGCGGCUCAACCGUGGAACUGCCUCAAAUACUGACGGUCUCGAGGGAGGUAGGGGCGAGCGGAACUGAUGGUGGAGCGGUGAAAUGCGUUGAUAUCAUCAGGAACUCCGGUGGCGAAGGCGGCUCGCUGGACCGGUAUUGACGCUGAGGCGCGAAAGCCAGGGGAGCAAACGGG
rnacentral:rRNA from 1 species